rnacentral:ncRNA from 1 species
UAUAAUAAAAUAAUUAUGUUUUUAUUAAUUUAUUAUAAAUUUGUUUUACAUAUAAAUUUUAGUAUAUAAUUUUAAUUAUUUUAAUAAUAAUUAAUUAUUUUAGUAGUAAUUAAUAUUAAAAAUUUAAGAAAUUAAGAUUUAGCAAUAUAAAAAUUAAUAACUAAUUUUGUGCCAGCAGUUGCGGUUAAACAAAGGUUAAAUUAAAUUAUUUCAGUUUAUAAUAAAUAAAUGUGUUAAUUAAAAUAAAUAUUAAAUUAUUAGGUGAAAUUUUAAUUUAAUUAAAUUUUAUUUAAAAAUUAUGAUUUAAUAAAUUUUAAUAUAAACUAGGAUUAGAUACCCUAUUAUUAAAAAUUUAAUUUAUAAUACUAAAAUAGUAAAUAAUAAUUUAUUGAAACUUAAAUAAUAUGGCGGUAUUUUAGUUCAUUUAGAGGAAUCUGUCUAAUAAUUGAUAAUCCACGAAUAAAUUUACUUAAUUUAUAAUUUUGUAUAUCAUUGUUAAAAAAAUAUUUUUUAGUAAAAAUAAUAUUUAAAAAUUAAUAAUAGAAAUUAAUUCAGAUCAAGAUGCAGAAUAUAAUUAAGAAUAUGAUGGAUUACAAUAAAUAUAUUUAAAUGAAUAAUUUUAUUGUAAUAAAAAUUUGAAGGUGGAUUUAAAUGUAAUUUUAAUUAGUUUAUUAAAAUGAUUAUAAAUUAAAAUAUGUACAUAUUGCCCGUCACUUUCAUUUAAAAGUUGAAAUAAGUCGUAACAAAGUAGAGGUACUGGAAAGUGUUUCUAGAAAGAA